ensembl:lncRNA
ACACACACAGCUGCGUUAAGCUGAGCAAAAGGGGAGGUGGAAAAAUAAAGACAGAACAGCGAUGGCAGCAGUGACUGUUUCCAGCACCACCAAAGGCCUGUUCCUCAUGUUCACCCUGCUGUGUCUGGUUUGUCUUUCAAGUGCAGUGAUAGAUGAGAACCAACUGACUACAUGUAGCUGUCCUCGUAUGUCAGCACUGCGUAGGGUUUCCUGGAAUAGUUCCUGAAUAUUUUCCAGAAAAAAGCAGAGCACAGUGAGUGUGACAGCUGCUGAAGAACACAAUGAAAACCACAGCAAAAGAAGAGCAUUCUUACAGGAAGAGAUUAUUUAUGUCAAACUAAUGAACAAAGGUUAUUAAAUAUUAAUUUACCAGUUGGUCCUUGUGGGUCAGUGAACUUGAAAGAUCAAAUAGUUUUGUGAUUGUUUCCUUUCUAUAUUUGUCUUCUGCCUAACAGAAAAAAAUAAGAACAUUUAAAUUUACCAUAUUAUUCUACAUUGUAUGUAAUGCAAUCACUGUAGAUAGUGUAAAGUAAAAUGGAUUUAUUAAGGUAUUUUUUAAACUCUUCAUUUCUGCCUACACACAGCAGAUUUUAAAACUUGGAGACUGACUGACCCACCUUCCAUCUCUCUGCUUCUUUUAUUGCUUUCUUCAUCUGCUCAAGCAUCAUCUGUGUGACCCAUUGUAAAUAAAGAAAAAAAUUCAGCAGCUAAUGAGCUUGUGAUGACUUAGACUGUAUAUAUACAAAUAAGUGUGUAAUUGUUGAAUCAUAAAUGGGAAUUCAGCAAAAAUUAAUUCAUCACCUGGUCUUGGGUAUAGAGGGAACUUGCGACUGAAACAAGACACAGCAGAGAGAAGAUGAGUAAUAAGCCUUUGUUGGCUAAAGCUGGUCCCCUGGUAUUGGAAAAGGCUGCUGCUGCCAUCGCUCUUAGAACUGGAACAAACUCCCUGCUUAAAAAAGUUGAGAUGUCAUAGACAUUUAGAGUUAAUAAGUAACUGAAUAUAUAUAUAUAGAGAGAGAGAGAGAGAGAGAGAGAGUCAACAUUCUUUUCCACGUUGAUAUAAACUUAUUCUGUAAAUAUUAAUCAAAAUAAAUCAUAUUGUUGUGCAUGAUUACUCCUCUUACCUGCUGUGCGAACGUAAGAAGAGCUGCUGUACCAU